rnacentral:rRNA from 1 species
AACGAACGCUGGCGGCAGGCUUAACACAUGCAAGUCGAGCGCCCCGCAAGGGGAGCGGCAGACGGGUGAGUAACGCGUGGGAACGUACCUUUUGGUUCGGAACAACUCCGGGAAACUGGAGCUAAUACCGGAUAAGCCCUAACGGGGAAAGAUUUAUCGCCGAAAGAUCGGCCCGCGUCUGAUUAGCUAGUUGGUGAGGUAACGGCUCACCAAGGCGACGAUCAGUAGCUGGUCUGAGAGGAUGAUCAGCCACACUGGGACUGAGACACGGCCCAGACUCCUACGGGAGGCAGCAGUGGGGAAUAUUGGACAAUGGGCGCAAGCCUGAUCCAGCCAUGCCGCGUGAGAGAUGAAGGCCUUAGGGUUGUAAAGCUCUUUUGUCCGGGAAGAUAAUGACUGUACCGGAAGAAUAAGCCCCGGCUAACUUCGUG